UCUAGUCUUCAAGGCUCCAAGCAAUCCUCCACACACGGGUUUGUUUGAUGGCAUGCUCAAAAUAACCCCUACAAGUAUGAUCCAGUGCCCUCCAUGGGACCAAAGCUUGAUUCUUCACGUAGUGACUUUGAAUGAUGCCAUCGAAAGCUAAGGAGGCCAUUUCACUUGUAUCACAAACCAUCGCAGUCUUCCUUCCCGCAAGUUGUCUUCCACUGAAGCCACUCCCACCUUCUCCCGAAUAGUCUCAAACACUGUGAAAGAAUAUUUAUCAUAUUAUUUGUUGGGGUGAGUGUGGUGCAUAUUUAGACAAGUUUAUAUCUGCGGAAGCUGCUUCUAAGUUCUAACUGCUUGUAAAUAUUGGACUCUACAAUAUGUAAAGCUUCAAGGCACUUGACCAUGAUACUUUUAACUUCACGCAGACCAAGAAAGAAUUGUUGAAGGUGAGACCUGUUUUGUAAAUAAAAUUCCCAAUAUGAUCUUGGGGCUUGAAGCAAAUUAUAAAAACCAAAGAACUACUUGAAUAAGAAUUUUUCUUGUACCCUGUAUUUUGGUUAUAAAAAAAAAUAAAAAAAAAUAAAAAAAAAUAAAAAAAAUUGUACCUGUAUAAACUUAUCAGUUCUGCAUGACACUUUGUGCAUCUAUAUUGAAGCAGCAGCGGAUUCCUCAAAAGAAAUAGUAAAGAUAGGUGGAAGUACAGUACUUUUUUCCUUGUAUAUUGGACCGUGUAGGCUAGAAGAUCCACAAAAGUUACUGAUAUAACAGUAAUCGCAUCAAAACAUAGUCUUGCGAGCAGUUAAUUGGAGGAGGGUUGGUUUUAGUUCUUCUAGCUGUUUUCCCCUUUUAAAUCUCUUCACUCCAGCCCUUAAGUACUCUGGACCCUCCGUUAAAU
rnacentral:lncRNA from 1 species